rnacentral:rRNA from 1 species
AUGGUGGCUAUUUGUCAUGGUGCACCAGUUAUUUCUCACCUGUUAUUUACGGAUGAUACUAUGCUGCUGUUUGAAGCAUCUGGCCAGCAGGCGAGCAUUGUUAAGGGGUUGUUGAACACUUAUACCUCAGUGACGGUUCAACUCAUUAACCCAGAGAAGUGUUCCAUCCUUUUCUCAGACAAUUGCUCUGAUGCGGUGGCGAAUGCAGUCAAAGCACCCUUGAGGUUAUGCAGCAGGUGUUUGAGCCAAAGUACCUCAGCCUUCCUAUGCCGGAAGGAAGAAUGCAUAAGGGUCAAUUUGAAUCACUUCAGGAAAGAUUGA